AAUGGGCGAAAGCCUGACGCAGCAACACCGCGUGGGGGACGAAGGCUCUCGGGUUGUAAACCCCUUUCAGCAGGGACGAAAAUGACGGUACCUGCAGAAGAAGCCCCGGCCAACUACGUGCCAGCAGCCGCGGUAACACGUAGGGGGCGAGCGUUGUCCGGAUUUAUUGGGCGUAAAGAGCUCGUAGGCGGCUCGGUAAGUCGGGUGUGAAAUUUCAGGGCUCAACCCUGAAAAGCCACCCGAUACUGCUGUGGCUAGAGUCCGGUAGGGGAGUGGGGAAUCCCUGGUGUAGCGGUGAAAUGCGCAGAUAUCAGGAGGAACACCAGCGGCGAAGGCGCCACUCUGGGCCGGUACUGACGCUGAGGAGCGAAAGCGUGGAGAGCGAA
rnacentral:rRNA from 1 species